rfam:Rattus norvegicus chromosome 4, whole genome shotgun sequence.
GGGGAUUUAGCUCAGUGGUAGAGUGCUUGCUUAGCAAGUGCAAGGCCCUGGGUUCAGUCCCCA